ACUCAAAGGAAUUGACGGGGACCCGCACAAGCAGUGGAGUAUGUGGUUUAAUUCGAAGCAACGCGAAGAACCUUACCAGGUCUUGACAUCCCUCUGACCGGUCUAGAGAUAGACCUUUCCUUCGGGACAGAGGAGACAGGUGGUGCAUGGUUGUCGUCAGCUCGUGUCGUGAGAUGUUGGGUUAAGUCCCGCAACGAGCGCAACCCUUAUGCUUAGUUGCCAGCAGGUCAAGCUGGGCACUCUAAGCAGACUGCCGGUGACAAACCGGAGGAAGGUGGGGAUGACGUCAAAUCAUCAUGCCCCUUAUGACCUGGGCUACACACGUACUACAAUGGCCGGUACAACGGGAAGCGAAAUCGCGAGGUGGAGCCAAUCCUAGAAAAGCCGGUCUCAGUUCGGAUUGUAGGCUGCAACUCGCCUACAUGAAGUCGGAAUUGCUAGUAAUCGCGGAUCAGCAUGCCGCGGUGAAUACGUUCCCGGGUCUUGUACACACCGCCCGU
rnacentral:rRNA from 1 species